CAAACGUUGCUUGCUAAUCCUUCAAAACAUAAAAUUUACCGAUGCAAAAUUACUACUGUGAUCACAUGCAGAAACUUUGCAUGUCUUUGAUAGUGUAAAGCAUGCUUUAGAAAAUGAAAGUAUAUGAGAAUUAUGUAUGUUGGGAUAUUAGGAAAUGCUCUUAUCCAAGAGAUGCUCGUAAAACAGUAUCGACUGUAAAAGAGAACAUUUGAGAGAGUCUCAUUUCAGGCCGAAACCCAAACAAUCAGUGUAAUUAUGUAAGUUGAUAUAAUAUUUCCACAUUUUGUCCGCGGUACGUGGGUGAGAUUGGGGGCUGAUGAUUAAUAGCCUGAUGUAACAACAACUGCUCAUUUGUGGUUCCAAAGGCGAAAGUAUUAUGCAAUGAAUUUUGAAACAGGCUGGAGCAGAUAAUAUUUAUGCUAACUAAACUCUUAAAAUUUGUACAGCAUCCUAAAUUUGUACUGAAUUCUAUAUAUAAAUGUAAAUUUAUGUAAACAUCUUAUGUAAUACGUAACUAAGUGCAAAUAUCACUUAUAAAUACUACAGGCAAGGUUGAUCACACUGCAGCAGCCCACGUAGCUUUUUAAAAAGAUCUGUUAAAGAAUUGUAACUGUCUUGUAUAUAUUUAAGCCUUGAAUUUAAAUUUGAUCCAAGGGAAUAAAAGUGAUCUACUAUCUUA